rnacentral:rRNA from 1 species
UACCAGCACCCCGAGUGGUCGGGACGAUUAUUGGGCCUAAAGCAUCCGUAGCCGGUCCUGCAAGUCUUCCGUUAAAUCCAGCUGCUCAACAGAUGGGCUGCGGGGGGAUACUACAGGGCUAGGAGGCGGGAGAGGCAAGCGGUACUUUAUGGGUAGGGGUAAAAUCCGUUGAUCCAUAGAAGACCACCAGUGGCGAAGGCGGCUUGCCAGAACGCGCUCGACGGUGAGGGAUGAAAGCUGGGGGAGCAAACCGG